rnacentral:rRNA from 1 species
UAGGGAAUCUUCCGCAAUGGGCGAAAGCCUGACGGAGCAACGCCGCGUGAGUGAUGAAGGUCUUCGGAUCGUAAAACUCUGUUAUUAGGGAAGAACAAAUGUGUAAGUAACUAUGCACGUCUUGACGGUACCUAAUCAGAAAGCCACGGCUAACUACGUGCCCGCAGCCGCGGUAAUACGUAGGUGGCAAGCGUUAUUCGGAAUUAUUGGGCGUAAAGCGCGCGUAGGCGGUUUUUUAAGUCUGAUGUGAAAGCCCACGGCGCAGACGUGGAGGGUCAGUGGAAACUGGAAAACUUGAGUGCAGAAGAGGAAAGUGGAAUUACAUGUGUAGCGGUGAAAUGCGCAGAGAGAUGAAGGAACACCAGUGGCGAAGACGGCUUUCUGGUCUGUAACUGACGCUGAUGUGCGAAAGCGUAGGGAUCAAACAGA